GACUUUAGAAAUCGUUAGGGUUCAAGUCCCUCUAUCCCCCAAAACCAU
rnacentral:tRNA from 1 species